rnacentral:rRNA from 1 species
UGGGGAAUAUUGGACAAUGGGGGCAACCCUGAUCCAGCAAUGCCGCGUGUGUGAAGAAGGCCUGCGGGUUGUAAAGCACUUUCAGUGGGGAAGAGGGCGUGCGUGUAACGAGCGCACGUUGACGUUACCCACAGAAGAAGCACCGGCUAACUCCGUGCCAGCAGCCGCGGUAAUACGGAGGGUGCGAGCGUUAAUCGGAAUUACUGGGCGUAAAGCGCGCGUAGGCGGUUGAGUGAGUCAGAUGUGAAAGCCCCGGGCUCAACCUGGGAAUGGCAUUUGAUACUGCUUGGCUAGAGUCUGACAGAGGGUGGCGGAAUUCCGGGUGUAGCGGUGAAAUGCGUAGAUAUCCGGAGGAACACCGGUGGCGAAGGCGGCCACCUGGGUCGAGACUGACGCUGAGGUGCGAAAGCGUGGGGAGCGAACAGGAUUAGAUACCCGCGUAGUCC